GCCAGCAUGGUGUAGUGGUUAAGAGCGUUGGACUCAUAAUCUGGUGAACGGGGUUCGCUUCCCCGCAUGCAGCUGUUGGGUG